CAGCCGCCACGGUAAUACGGAGGGCGCGAGCGUUACCCGGAUUUACUGGGCGUAAAGGGCAUGUAGGCGGCCUGGGGCGUCCCAUGUGAAAGGCCACGGCUCAACCGUGGAGGAGCGUGGGAUACGCUCAGGCUAGAGGGUGGGAGAGGGUGGUGGAAUUCCCGGAGUAGCGGUGAAAUGCGCAGAUACCGGGAGGAACGCCGAUGGCGAAGGCAGCCACCUGGUCCACUUCUGACGCUGAGGCGCGAAAGCGUGGGGAGCAAACCGGAUUAGAUACCCGGGUAGUCCCUGUCUCUUAUAC
rnacentral:rRNA from 1 species